rnacentral:rRNA from 1 species
AGGAUAAACGCUGGCGGCGUGCCUAACACAUGCAAGUCGAACGUCUCUUCUUUCGGGAAGAGGAGUGGCGGACGGGUGAGGAACACGUGGGAACCUGCCCUUUAGUGAGGAAUACCGGCGAGAAAUCGCCGACAAGACCGCAUAGCCUCGGUGCAAGUCGAGGAAAGCUCUCUCGAGAGAGGGAGCGCCACACGAGGAGCCUGCGCCCGAUUAGCUAGCUGGUGGAGUAAUGGUUCACCAGGGCGACGAUCGGUAGCUGGUCUGAGAGGACGAUCAGCCACACUGGGAUUGAGAACGGCCCAGACUCCUACGGGGGGCAGCAGUGAGGAAUUUUCGUCAAUGGGGGCAACCCUGAACGAGCAACGCCGCGUGCAGGAAGAAGGUUUUCGGAUCGUAAACUGCUUUUCUCGGGGAGGAGAACGGACGGUACCCGAGGAAUCAGCCCCGGCUAACUACGUGCCAGCAGCCGC